rfam:Schistosoma rodhaini strain Burundi genome assembly, scaffold: SROB_scaffold0002994
AUCCAGUUGACGAGUCUCAAAUAGGACGAAGUGUCGCGCGUCAAACUGGAU